rnacentral:rRNA from 1 species
AUUGAACGCUGGCGGCAUGCUUUACACAUGCAAGUCGAACGAGUGGCGCACGGGUGAGUAAUACAUCGGAACGUGUCCUAUCGUGGGGGAAAACUUAUCGAAAGCUCAGCCAAUACCGCAUACGAUUGGCGCGGCCGAUUCCCUAUUAGCUAGUUUGUGAGGUAAAGGCUCACAAAGGCGACGAACGGUAGCUGGGCUGAGAGGACGACCAGCCACACUGGGACUGAGACACGGCCCAGACGCCUACGGGAGGCAGCAGUGGGGAAGUUUGGACAAUGGGGGCAACCCUGAUCCAGCCAUGCCGCGUGCAGGAUGAAGGUCUUCGGAUUGUAAACUGCUUUUGGCAGGGAAGCGGUACCUGAAGAAUAAGCACCGGCUAACUACGUGCCAGCAGCCGCGGUAAUUC